rnacentral:lncRNA from 9 species
ACGGUUCCCUCGGCAACACCUCCCUGCUCAGAGCUUGUCCCCCAGGUGACCUCCAUCCUGUUGGUUUCUACCAUGUUUAAGGUUGCCUCCAGGAUCCCUUCUGGUGAAAUCCAGACACUCAGGAUAAGCCUGGCUAGCCAUUGCACCUGUAUUUGGAAAUAUCAUUGAAUAAACCUGGUUUCUAGAAAGUUCUUCUACCUUUGAAAAUAUUACAGAAUCUUGCUUUUAUUCGCUAACAAAUAUUGAAUAAACACCUACUUUGUACUCAGGGCCUAUUUCAGAGGUGCUUUAUCAGAAAUGUGCAAGCAGCAUUUUUUCGAAAUGCUCAAGCACCUCAGAGGAUCCUUCCCUUGGCCACAUUUUUCCUAGAGGCCUCUGUCCUGUUUCAAUCCAGACCUGUUUGCUCUGCAUCUGUGGCACAGCUGUUGUCCUGAGACUUCUUUUCAAAUUCUAAAAUAAAAUAGUCUUUCCGUACUAUCCAAAACCCAGCCAAACAAUUGAAGUGUGAAGGCAGAGUAAAUACAUUCAAAGAAUCAGAAAAUACACCUCCUACAUGCCCUAGAAAGCAACUGAAGGAUGGGCUUCAGCAAACAAAGGAAGGAUCCAAAGGAAGAAGGAAGCAUAGCGUAUCGGUUCUCCAAUGAAUAAAAUCCCUGCAUUAUCUUUGUUCCUGCCUGAGCAAGUGAAAUUCUAUUUGCUAAGAUCUCCAAAAGUGAAAAUCAUUUAUCACAUCAGAACCAAAACCAAAUGUAGGGAGAUCUGAGCAGCCUUCUGCGUCACCAUGUAAAACCACAAAGCCUUGAUAGUUGUGGCAUCAUGCUCGAAAUACACUUGAAGUUUAGACUAUGAAGAGAACCGGCGUUUAAAGCAAACACAUAUUUAGUUGGUAAGGAGUGGAGGAAAGAAGGUGUGCCAUCUACAGAAGUAUUUGGUGAUCCGUAGACCUCCCAGCAUCCCAAGAAUCAUUUCCAUCGCUUUCGAAGUCAGAUAUUCAGAUUUCUGCCUAUGUAAGAAAGAAAAUUAUGGCCUCUUUGGAUGGUUGCUCUGCAGGCUGCUACUAGAUGUUAACCAGCCUUGGCGAAGCCAGCUUCAUUGAUUGGCAAUGAGUCAAGAGGGUGGCAGUGGUCGAUCAAGCUUUUUGAGUGAACUUCGGCCUCCUGAUGAAGGUUGCAGAAUUCCUGAAAAUGCAACAAUUGGCCAACCCCAGCCCGCACUGCCUAGAGGUCUGUUGGAAGAGGGUGGAGCCCACAGCAGCACAGCUCCAUCAAACUGGAAACCAUAA